rnacentral:rRNA from 1 species
CAUGCAAGUUGAACGAAGCGCUUAAAUGGAUUUCUUCGGAUUGAAGUUUUUGUGACUGAGUGGCGGACGGGUGAGUAACGCGUGGGUAACCUGCCUCAUACAGGGGGAUAACAGUUAGAAAUGACUGCUAAUACCGCAUAAGCGCACAGUGCUGCAUGGCACAGUGUGAAAAACUCCGGUGGUAUGAGAUGGACCCGCGUCUGAUUAGCUAGUUGGUGGGGUAACGGCCUACCAAGGCGACGAUCAGUAGCCGGCCUGAGAGGGUGAACGGCCACAUUGGGACUGAGACACGGCCCAAACUCCUACGGGAGGCAGCAGUGGGGAAUAUUGCACAAUGGGGGAAACCCUGAUGCAGCGACGCCGCGUGAGCGAAGAAGUAUUUCGGUAUGUAAAGCUCUAUCAGCAGGGAAGAAAAUGACGGUACCUGACUAAGAAGCACCGGCUAAAUACGUGCCAGCAGCCGCGGUAAUACGUAUGGUGCAAGCGUUAUCCGGAUUUACUGGGUGUAAAGGGAGCGUAGACGGUUGUGUAAGUCUGAUGUGAAAGCCCGGGGCUCAACCCCGGGACUGCAUUGGAAACUAUGUAACUAGAGUGUCGGAGAGGUAAGCGGA